rnacentral:rRNA from 1 species
GGGGGGUCUUAACCAUGCAAGUCGACCGGCAAAAGAGGGGCUUGCCCCUUUUUAAGAGUGGCGGACUGGUGAGUAACACGUGGGUGACAUACCUUUUAGUUGGGGAUAGCUAUUAGAAAUGGUAGGUAAUACCGAAUGUGACCGUACCUGUUAGAGGGGUACGAGGAAAGGAGCUAAGGCUUCGCUAAAAGAAUGGCUCGCGGCCCAUUAUGCUCGUUGGUGAGGUAACGGCCCACCAAGGCGAUGAUGGGUAUCCGGCCUGAGAGGGUGAACGGACACAUUGGGACUGAGAUACGGCCCAGACUCUACGGGAGGCAGCAGUUAAGAAUAUUCCGCAAUGGACGAAAGUCUGACGGAGCGACGCCGCGUGGAUGAAGAAUGCCGAAAGGUUGUAAAAUCCUUUUAAGCCUGAUGAAUAAGCACAAUAGGGAAUGAUUGUGCGGUGACCGUAGGGCUUGAAUAAGC